AAGACCUUGCGCUUUUGGAGCGGCCGAUGCCUGAUUAGCUAGUUGGUGGGGUAAUGGCCUACCAAAGCUUCGAUCAGUAGCCGGUCUGAGAGGACGGCCAGCCACACUGGGACUAAGACACGGCCCAGACUCCUACGGGAGGCAGCAGUGGGGAAUUUUGGACAAUGGGCGCAAGCCUGAUCCAGCCAUGCCGCGUGAGUGAAGAAGGCCUUCGGGUUGUAAAGCUCUUUCAGCCGGGAAGAAAAGGUUGCGAUUAAUAAUCGCAAUUUAUGACGGUACCGGAAGAAGAAGCACCGGCUAACUACGUGCCAGCAGCCGCGGUAAUACGUAGGGUGCGAGCGUUAAUCGGAAUUACUGGGCGUAAAGGGUGCGCAGGCGGUUUUGUAAGUCAGAUGUGAAAUCCCCGGGCUUAACCUGGGAACU
rnacentral:rRNA from 1 species